rnacentral:rRNA from 1 species
CCUACGGGAGCUGCAGUGGGGAAUAUUGGACAAUGGGCGAAAGCCUGAUCCAGCCAUGCCGCGUGUGUGAAGAAGGCCUUCGGGUUGUAAAGCACUUUCAGUGAGGAAGAAAGCCUUGGGGCUAAUACCCUCGAGGAAGGACAUCACCCACAGAAGAAGCACCGGCUAACUCCGUGCCAGCAGCCGCGGUAAUACGGAGGGGGCGAGCGUUAAUCGGAAUUACUGGGCGUAAAGCGCGCGUAGGCGGUCUGAUAAGCCGGUUGUGAAAGCCCCGGGCUCAACCUGGGAACGGCAUCCGGAACUGUCAGGCUAGAGUGCAGGAGAGGAAGGUAGAAUUCCCGGUGUAGCGGUGAAAUGCGUAGAGAUCGGGAGGAAUACCAGUGGCGAAGGCGGCCUUCUGGACUGACACUGACGCUGAGGUGCGAAAGCGUGGGUAGCAAACAGGAUUAGAUACCCCGGUAGUC